AGAAAGUUUUAUUUUAGCUUAAAAAGUUGGUAUUUAUUUUUAUUACAUGUAAGUUGUUGCAUGAUUUGGUACUUACUUAGAUAGUAAUUAUUUUAUAAUGAUUAAUUGCAGUAAUUAAAAUUAUUAUAUAAAAGAGAUUUUGAUAUAGAAAUAUAAUAUUGUAUUGACAAAGUUUGUGCCAGCAGUUGCGGUUAGACAGACAAUUCAAUCAACUUUUUUAGGUUAGUAAUUAAUAGUUUAGAAUUUAAUUUAGAAUUAAAUUUUUUAGGUGAAAUUUAAAAUUUAAAUAAAAUUAAAUUUGGUUAUAUGAUUUACGAAAUUUUAACUAAAUUAGACUAGGAUUAGAUACCCUAUUAUUAAAAAUGUAAAUAUAAAAUACCAAGGUAGUAUUAGUUAUGUUCUUGAAAUUUAAAAAAUUUGGCGGUAUUUUAGUCUUUUCAGAGGAACCUGUUCUAUGAUUGAUAGUCCACGUUUUAUUGUACUUAAUUUACAAGUUUGUAUAUCGUCGUAGUUGAGUGUCUUAGGAGAGUUAACAUUCAAAAUUUAUAAUUAUAAUAUAAAUCAGAUCAAGGCGCAGCUUAUAAUUAAGAAGAAAUGGGUUACAUUAAUUUUUUAAUUUAUAUGGUUAAUAUAAUUAAAAUUGUUUUAUAAAUUGGAUUUGAAAGUAAUAUGAUUGAAUUAAAUUAUAUGAUUUGAGCUCUAAAAUAUGCACAUAUCGCCCGUCAUUUCCAUUGAUAUUUUAAAGUGGGACAAGUCGUAACAAAGUAGGCGUACUGGAAAGUGUGCCUAGGAAGUC
rnacentral:ncRNA from 1 species